CCUACGGGUGGCAGCAGUGAGGAAUAUUGGUCAAUGGCCGAGAGGCUGAACCAGCCAAGUCGCGUGAGGGAAGACGGCCCUACGGGUUGUAAACCUCUUUUGUCGGGGAGCAAAGCGAACCACGUGUGGUUCAUUGAGAGUACCCGAAGAAAAAGCAUCGGCUAACUCCGUGCCAGCAGCCGCGGUAAUACGGAGGAUGCGAGGGUUAUCCGGUUUUAUUGGGUUAAAAGGGUGCGCAGGGGGCGGGGCAAGUCAGCGGUCAAAGUGCGGGGCUAAACCUCGUACUGCCGUUGAAACUGCAUCGCUUGAGUGCGCGAGAAGUAUGCGGAAUGCGUGGUGUAGCGGUGAAAUGCAUAGAUAUCACGCAGAACUCCGAUUGCGAAGGCAGCAUACCGGCUCGCAACUGACGCUCAUACACGAAAGCGUGGGUAUCGAACAGGAUUAGAUACCCUUGUAGUC
rnacentral:rRNA from 1 species